rnacentral:rRNA from 1 species
GAUGAACGCUGGCGGCGUGCCUAACACAUGCAAGUCGAGCGAUUCUCUUCGGAGAAGAGCGGCGGACGGGUGAGUAACGCGUGGGUAACCUGCCCUGUACGCACGGAUAACAUACCGAAAGGUAUGCUAAUACGGGAUAAUAUGUUUUGAUCGCAUGGUCGAAAUAUCAAAGCUCCGGCGGUACAGGAUGGACCCGCGUCUGAUUAGCUAGUUGGUAAGGUAACGGCUUACCAAGGCGACGAUCAGUAGCCGACCUGAGAGGGUGAUCGGCCACAUUGGAACUGAGACACGGUCCAAACUCCUACGGGAGGCAGCAGUGGGGAAUAUUGCACAAUGGGCGAAAGCCUGAUGCAGCAACGCCGCGUGAGCGAUGAAGGCCUUCGGGUCGUAAAGCUCUGUCCUCAAGGAAGAUAAUGACGGUACUUGAGGAGGAAGCCCCGGCUAACUACGUGCCAGCCGCCGCAGUAA